AGCGAACGUUUGCGGCGGGCCUAACACAUGCAAGUCGAACGCACUAGCAAUAGUGAGUGGCGCACGGGUGCGUAACACGUGGGUAAUCAACCCUUCAGCCUGGGAUAACGACUCGAAAGGGUCGCUAAUACCGGAUACGGCGCGAGAGGCUUCGGCUUCUCACGAGAAAGCCACGCAAGGGGCACUGAAGGACGAGCCUGCGGCCCAUCAGCUAGUUGGUGAGGUAAGAGCUCACCAAGGCUAAGACGGGUAGCUGGUCUGAGAGGAUGAUCAGCCACACUGGAACUGAGACACGGUCCAGACUCCUACGGGAGGCAGCAGUGGGGAAUAUUGCGCAAUGGGCGAAAGCCUGACGCAGCCACGCCGCGUGAGCGAUGAAGGCCUGGUCGUAAAGACUCUGUGGGAGAGACGAAGAAGACCGUCGAAGAGCAGGCCUUGACGGUAGUCUCCUUA
rnacentral:rRNA from 1 species